AGUGACUUCAAGGCCUGCCUGAACUGCAUGGUGAGAUCCUGUCCCAGAGUGUUUAGGGCUCAGGCAGCCCAGCGGGGAUGCUGGAGCUUCCACCUGGAGGACAGGAAUGAGUCAGACAAAGAUAAUGAGAGGGAGGGAGAGGAGGAAGAAAAGGAGGAAGGCAGGGAGGGAAAGACAGUGACAGAGAGUGAAAUUAGAGAAGGGAUAUGACCAAGGACAACAGGACAAUCCUUUCGGGCCAUCUUCCAAGUGGCUCAAAUGUCCCUCCUUCGGGAAGCCCUACUUGACCUCCCGUCUGGUCAGGCGCUCCCUCUGGGGUGCCCCAGCCCAGCCAGUGCUCUGAGGGGAAGCUGCUCCUCCGUCUGCUGGCAUAGGGCGAGGCGCCUCCCAUGAUGCUGUGCAGAUCCCUAACAUGGGACAACACACAAACGGCUUCUCCCUCCAAACCUCAGUUUGCGCAUCAGAAAUCCCAGACUCACAACGGGCUCUGCCUCACUGGUGGCUGGGAGAGUUCCACGAGUGCACGCAGGAGACCAUGAUUGUGAAGCUGCGAGGCGUGCAUGUGGCAAGGAAGGGGAUAUCCGGCGGCGCUUACGCUCUGACCUUGGGCGAGCAGUUUCGCUUUUCUGAGCCCGCUUCCUCUAUAAAACAAACAGAACUGCUCCUACCUACUUCCCAGUGCCUCGGGGAGGAUCAGCCCUGCGUGUACCUGGCCACCACUGGGGCUCAAUUAAAGUGAGCUGUAAUUAUUCUUUUUAUUAUUAUUCCCACAGCCCCUGAGCCUGGGGCUCUGUGCCUGCCACUGCCUGCUGGACCAGGGGGUUGUUCUCCAAGCCAGCUCCGUGCCAGGCACCCCUGGCUGCCUGCCCAGCCCACGCGGCUCCUGAGAACACGGUCCCUGGUCCUGGGACGCAAAGGCCCCUCCCCACGACUUACUCCUUCCCAGAAUUCUCACCUAGCUUCAGCAGCAGCCCCAAUUCUUGCUGUUUUUCUCAAGCCCCGUGGAAGGGGACACCUUCACCUUGAACCCUAUCACCUAGCUGGAGACCUGGCCUUGUCUUGGACUCUUCCUGACCCUCGACCCCAAGCCCAGCAUCUUCUUCAUUCUGUCGCAUCGGCCUCCUGAGCAUCUCUCACACCCAUGACCCGACUUCCAUCCCUGUGACCGGGUCGCCCCCCUCCCAGGGUCCCGCCCCAGGCUCCAGCCCUGCCUCUCCAGAAUCUUCCUCAAGCAAAAGCCUGACCCUAUCUCUGUUCAGUGCCAUCCAGGGCUUCCCAAAGCCCUCAGCUGAAAGUUGAAGCACUGAAUAUUCUGCUGCCCACGGCCUCCCCACACAGCUUGUCUCCUCCGUUCCAGACCGCCCUCUUCUAGGUGCCAGGUUCUGCUCACCUCUGGGCCCUUUUCGCCAGGUUCUUUUUGCCUGGAGAGCCCCCCUCCCCCCGCCACCACUGUGGCCAUUGUCAUUUCAUCAGCUUCCGCCCAUCCAGCCCGGUCCGAGCCCCUACCACCUCUCACCUGUCCUCUGUUCUAGCCUCCUUCCCGAGACCAGCCCCUGCAGUCCUGCCUCUGCAGCCAGCCUGUACACAGCCAGCAGCUGGGGAUCUUUUCCCAAAGCUAAUCAGACUGCGUGGCUCCCCAUCACCUGCAGACUGACACCCACAGCCCCCAGCCCGACCUCCUACCUCUGGCUGACUCUCUCACCUGUCCUACCUCCUUCUAUGGACCCCGUCUGAGCAAACAUCCUCCUACUCUGAAUCGGUUUCUGCUCCCAUUGAGAGCUCACUUUCCAUUGGGGUUCUAGAGCUUCCUACCUUCCAACCACCUUCUCCAGAGUAUUCCAGGUGUGAGUCUCUCCUGUCUCCUGCAGAAUCAACUCUGCCUCUCUGUCGGACCAUGCCUGAACAAGCGGCCUCCCUCUGCACACUUCCCUUCAGAACCAAAACACUCACACCUGUCAACAUCUGCGGCCUCGCCUUCCUCACCUCCAAUUUACCCCACAGUGCCCUCCUAGCUCUCACCCCGUCAUUCCCCAGCAACAGCUCUUAUCCACACCGCCAACCACAGCCACAGAGCCAAUCCAAUGGCCAGGGCUUGGUGCUCGCUUUGGCAGCUUCUGACUGAGGGAACCUGCCUCCUUCCUUCUAGAAGCACUGGUAUCUCUCCGCUUUUGUGGCCCCUUCUUCCCUUCCACUUCACUCACCACUACUCUCAGCAUCCCCUUCUUGCAUUCUAAAUAUCAGAAUUCCUCAGGGUUCCAUUCUAGAUCUUCUCCAGACCCUAUUCUCAGGUGACUUCAUCCAUUCCAACCACAGCCUGAUCAAGUCCAAAUUUUUCCCCAGUCCAGACCUAUUCAAUGUCUCUUCUGGACAGGGACCCAGUGUAUAACCAUCCCCAAGCCAGGAGCCUUGGGAGAUACUGAGCUGCAUCCUUAACAGCCUCCAAAGGACAGAAAGGUGACCGCUCCUGGAGACUAAACAGGCACAUGGCUGCACUUCGGAGAGCAAAAGUUCCAGUCUUUUUAAGGGGGGACACUGGAUGUUCCAAAAUUAUAUGCAAAAUGUGUGUGUGUGUGUGUGUGUGCGUGCAUGUGUGCAUGCACGCAUGUGUACCCUUUAGAAAGAGUCCACAGCUUUCAACAGGUUCUCAAUGGUGUUAGGAAACUUAGUGCUACUUUCUCAGACACUGUGGCGAUGUCUUUUUUCCAGAGCUGGGGCCUCACAUGUGCUAGGCAAGUGCUCUACCGCUGAGCUGUACCCCAGCCCUUUUUGUUUUAUUAUCGUUACCAUUACCACUACUAUUAUUGUGGUCCUGGGGGCUGAACACAGAACAGCACUCUACAACUGAGCUAUACGCCCAGCCCCCUCUUUUUCAGUUUCCUUUUGAGA